UACAGGGUAAACCAUGUGCUUGAAAUGUUACAAAAGGAAAUACAAAGGACUGAGGAAAGAUUUUGAGAUUCUUGAAAUGUUUUCGAUGUUUACACAAAAACAAAUCUCUCUCUACUAAACAAAAAUUGAAUAGGUGUAAAAACUUUUUUUCAAACAAUGCAGCAUUUACAAUUCAGGAACAAAUCUGGCAUAAUUUCAGUACAAAGAGUGUUUUGUUCAUUGCUUAUUCACAUUCCACUAAUGAUUGCAAUACAUGAGAAAGAUCAUAUUAAUCAUAAAUCUUUAGAUGGUCAUCACCAGUCUCUGCCACAGCUGGUAAAGGUGCAGUGAACGAUUUCUGAGAAACACGGUUGAAAGUGGAUCAAACCGAGCAGCACAACAAACGUGUAGCCAAUCAGCAUUAGGGGGCGUGUCCACUCAUGAUGGUGGAGGGGUUAGAGUGAGCGAGCGAAUCAGCAUUGGGGGCGUGUCCACUCAUGAUGGUGGAGGGGUUAGAGUGAGCGAGCCAAUCAGCAUUGGGGGCGUGUCCACUCAUGAUGGGGGAGGGCGAGCCAAUCAGCAUUAGGGGGCGUGUCCACUCAUGAUGGUGGAGGGGUUAGAGUGAGCGAGCCAAUCAGCAUUAGGGGGCGUGUCCACUCAUGAUGGGGGAGGGCGAGCGAAUCAGCAUUAGGGGGCGUGUCCACUCAUGAUGGGGGAGGGCGAGCGAAUCAGCAUUAGGGGGCGUGUCCACUCAUGAUGGGGGAGGGGUUAGAGUGAGCGAGCGAAUC